rnacentral:rRNA from 1 species
UAAGGAAUAUUGGUCAAUGGAGGGAACUCUGAACCAGCCAUGCCGCGUGCAGGAAGACGGCCCUCUGGGUUGUAAACUGCUUUUAUUCGGGGAUAAACCUAUUUACGUGUAAAUAGCUGAAUGUACCGAAGGAAUAAGGAUCGGCUAACUCCGUGCCAGCAGCCGCGGUAAUACGGAGGAUCCAAGCGUUAUCCGGAUUUAUUGGGUUUAAAGGGUGCGUAGGCGGCUUAUUAAGUCAGGGGUGAAAGACGGUGGCUCAACCAGCGCAGUGCCCUUGAUACUGAUGAGCUUGAAUAGGCUAGAGGUAGGCGGAAUGUGACAAGUAGCGGUGAAAUGCAUAGAUAUGUCACGGAACACCAAUUGCGAAGGCAGCUUACUAUGGUUUAAUUGACGCUGAGGCACGAAAGCGUGGGGAUCAAACA